CAGCAGCCGCGGUAAUACGAAGGGUGCAAGCGUUACUCAGAAUUACUGGGCGUAAAGCGUGCGUAGGUGGUGGUUUAAGUCCGUUGUGAAAGCCCUGGGCUCAACCUGGGAAUUGCAGUGGAUACUGGGUCACUAGAGUGUGGUAGAGGAUAGUGGAAUUUCCGGUGUAGCAGUGAAAUGCGUAGAGAUCGGAAGGAACAUCUGUAGCGAAGGCGACUAUCUGGGCCAACACUGACACUGAGGCACGAAAGCGUGGGGAGCAAACAGGAUUAGAUACCCCCGUAGUCCCUGUCUCUUAUAC
rnacentral:rRNA from 1 species